rnacentral:rRNA from 1 species
UGAUCCUGGCUCAGGACGAACGCUGGCGGCGUGCUUAACACAUGCAAGUCGAACGUGAUUUUUAUGGAAGAACCUUCGGGGACGGAAAUAGAAUGAAAGUGGCGAACGGGUGAGUAACACGUGAGCAACCUACCUUACACAGGGGGAUAGCCGUUGGAAACGACGAUUAAUACCGCAUGAGACCACAGAAUCGCAUGAUAUAGGGGUCAAAGAUUUAUCGGUGUAAGAAGGGCUCGCGUCUGAUUAGCUAGUUGGAAGGGUAAAGGCCUACCAAGGCGACGAUCAGUAGCCGGUCUGAGAGGAUGAACGGCCACACUGGAACUGAGACACGGUCCAGACUCCUACGGGAGGCAGCAGUGGGGAAUAUUGCACAAUGGGGGGAACCCUGAUGCAGCGACGCCGCGUGAGUGAAGAAGGUUUUCGAAUCGUAAAGCUCUGUCCUAUGAGAAGAUAAUGACGGUAUCAUAGGAGGAAGCCCCGGCUAAAUACGUGCCAGCAGCCGCGGUAAUACGUAUGGGGCGAGCGUUGUCCGGAAUUAUUGGGCGUAAAGGGUACGUAGGCGGUUUUUUAAGUCAGGUGUGAAAGCGUGAGGCUUAACCUCAUUAAGCACUUGAAACUGGAAGACUUGAGUGAAGGAGAGGAAAGUGGAAUUCCUAGUGUAGCGGUGAAAUGCGUAGAUAUUAGGAGGAAUACCGGUGGCGAAGGCGACUUUCUGGACUUUUACUGACGCUCAGGUACGAAAGCGUGGGGAGCAAACAGGAUUAGAUACCCUGGUAGUCCACGCCGUAAAC